AGUGAACGCUGGCGGUAGGCCUAACACAUGCAAGUCGAACGGCAGCACAGUAAGAGCUUGCUCUUACGGGUGGCGAGUGGCGGACGGGUGAGGAAUACAUCGGAAUCUACUUUUUCGUGGGGGAUAACGUAGGGAAACUUACGCUAAUACCGCAUACGACCUACGUGUGAAAGCAGGGGAUCUUCGGACCUUGCUGCUAUGAAUAUGCCGAUGUCGGAUUAGCUAGUUGCCGGGGUAAAGGCCCACCAAGGCGACGAUCCGUAGCUGGUCUGAGAGGAUGAUCAGCCACACUGGAACUGAGACACGGUCCAGACUCCUACGGGAGGCAGCAGUGGGGAAUAUUGGACAAUGGGCGCAAGCCUGAUCCAGCCAUACCGCGUGGGUGAAGAAGGCCUUCGGGUUGUAAAGCCCUUUUGUUGGGAAAGAAAAGCAGCAGGUUAAUACCACGCUGUUCUGACGGUACCCAAAGAAUAAGCACCGGCUAACUUCGUG
rnacentral:rRNA from 1 species